CCUACGGGUGGCUGCAGUGAGGAAUAUUCGUCAAUGGACGCAAGUCUGAACCAGCCAUGCCGCGUGCAGGAAGACGGCUCUAUGAGUUGUAAACUGCUUUUGUACGAGGGUAAACGCAGAUACGUGUAUCUUUCUGCAAGUAUCGUACGAAUAAGGAUCGGCUAACUCCGUUCCAGCAGCCGCGGUAAUACGGAGGAUUCAAGCGUUAUCCGGAUUUAUUGGGUUUAAAGGGUGCGUAGGCGGUCGGAUAAGUUAGAGGUGAAAUCCCGAGGCUCAACUUCGGAAUGGCGUCUGAUACUGUUAGGCUAGAGAGUAGAUGCGGUAGGCGGAAUGUAUGGUGUAGCGGUGAAAUGCUUAGAGAUCAUACAGAACACCGAUUGCGAAGGCAGCUUACCAAGCUACAUCUGACGUUGAGGCACGAAAGCGUGGGGAGCAAACAGGAUUAGAUACCCCAGUAGUC
rnacentral:rRNA from 1 species